CUAACACAUGCAAGUCGAGCGGUAGCAUGGUUAGUAGCAAUACUAACUGAUGACGAGCGGCGGACGGGUGAGGAACACGUAGGAACCUGCCCAAGAGAGGGGGAUAACUAAGGGAAACUUUAGCUAAUACCGCAUAAUUCUCUGAGGAGAAAAGUUGCCCGUAAGGGUAGCGCUUUUGGAGGGGCCUGCGUCCGAUUAGUUAGUUGGUGAGGUAAUGGCUCACCAAGACUGUGAUCGGUAACUGGUCUGAGAGGACGACCAGUCACACUGGGACUGAGACACGGCCCAGACUCCUACGGGAGGCAGCAGUGGGGAAUCUUGGACAAUGGGGGCAACCCUGAUCCAGCGAUGCCGCGUGGGUGAAGAAGGCCCUCGGGUUGUAAAGCCCUUUAGGCUGGGAAGAAGUUUAUGGGAUGAAUAAUCCUGUAAAUUGACGGUACCAGCAGAAUAAGCACCGGCAAACUCUGUGCCAGCAGCCGCAGUAA
rnacentral:rRNA from 1 species